rnacentral:rRNA from 1 species
GCGAGAAAACUUUGCAAUGUGCGAAAGCACGACAAGGUUAAUCCGAGUGGUUUCUGCUAAAGGAACCUUUUGUCGGUCCUAGAAACACCGAUGAAUAAGGGGUGGGCAAGUUCUGGUGUCAGCCGCCGCGGUAAAACCAGCACCUCAAGUGGUCAGGAUGAUUAUUGGGCCUAAAGCAUCCGUAGCCGGCUCUGUAAGUUUUCGGUUAAAUCUGUACGCUCAACGUACAGGCUGCCGGGAAUACUGCAAAGCUAGGGAGUGGGAGAGGUAGACGGUACUCGGUAGGAAGGGGUAAAAUCCUUUGAUCUAUUGAUGACCACCUGUGGCGAAGGCGGUCUACCAGAACACGUCCGACGGUGAGGGAUGAAAGCUGGGGGAGCAAACCGGAUUAGAUACCCGUGUAGUCC